ensembl:lncRNA
CACUGGCGGGCGCGGGCGGGGCUAAGGGGGGGGUGGGCGGUGUGGGAGCGGGUCUGGGCCGCCUGGGGGACCUCGGAGUCGGUGCGUUAUGCAUACAGCGACAAAUAGAUCGUAACUUCGUGGCGGCGAGGGCUCAUCGCCGGCUCCGAAGGCCUCGCAGCGGCCUGGCCCCACGCCGGGGGGCCGUGCUGGGGUCGUAGGGGAACUGGAGCGGACGGACGGACGGACGGACGGACGGCAGCUUCGGGCCGCUGUGCGGGAGCGGCGUCCUCCGCCCCUCCGCCUCUGUGCCGCGCAGGCGCUCCUGACCGCGCUGUCCCGGUGCCGCUCCGCGAGCUUUGGCGUCGCUCCGUACCGCCGCACUCCGACGGGGACCCGGCGCCGAAGGGCCGGUGCUGCUGCCGCCGAACUCCGCGUGUUCGGCCCCGAAGGCGCCAUCCGAAUGCGGAAAUAUGGAUGCAGCGCGCUGCAGUGGGAAGAAACCGUGGUGGUCGAGCGCAGACCCGGCGAUGAGGAUGGAGAUCAAAUACGGAGCUGAUCCCACGUGCAGCAUCUGCAGCCCUCAGCUCGCCGGGGCGAUGUACCCACAUUUCAUCAGGCAGCAGCGGACGAGCCUGGAUGUUCUCAGAAACCGCAAACACGUCGGUCAGCCCAAACCCCUCCCUGCCCUCCCUUCACACAGAGACCCUGGCAGCUCCCUUGUUGCUGCCGUGCGUCCUACUUCUGCCCACGGGCCCAAUGUGAAGUCACAGUGCUGCUGCUCGUUGAGCAUCUUGGGUGGAAAAGGUCCACCUUUGGGAAGCUGUAUCCAUUUCCCUACUGGACACAGCAGCAGAGCAGGCACAAGGCCCUAUCACAGCAGCAGCCUGUUGUCAAAUCAUGUGCAAACAGAGACACCAGGACCUGGAGCAUAUGAUGUAGACCGGGGCUAUCGAGCUUGCUUACCCAGCUCCCCCAGCAUCACCAUCCAAGGAGUCAGGAGGCCCAAGAGACACGAAACCGGCCCCUUUACAACGUUCUGAGAUGGACUACAGAAUUCCACUCCUAACCACAGGGCUUGCUCCUCAUUUCAGUAGUAAAAAGAAAAAUGCACAGAAGUUCACCUCAGUCUGAGUUGCAUUUUUUCUAGUAAGCAGAAAACCCAAUCUCCUGAGUGAAGGUAUGAGAAAAGUCCGAGCAAAGAGCCUACACCAGAGGAGCCCACACUGCCACCUUGGCCACAUGUUCCCAUUGCUGGCCAAACAAGGCCAAGCUCCAUCCCAUCAGGCACAAAUGCUACAGUGUUGAGGACAGACCUGGACGUACAGCCCUACCCAGGAUAUUAUUUCUAUCAGUGCCAUGAGAGCACAUGCAGCUCCUCCCAGAGGCAGGCAGCCCAGGUUAUCCCCAAGCCCUGGCAGGUGCCAGCUGCUGGGACACUGCAGCAGCCCUGGCUGUACUGACCUGGGGAAGCUGACCUCCUACAGCAGCACUUACCCCAGUGAGGGGCACCAGCCGUAGCUGUCAGAGCCAUGUGCACAUCUGGCAUUGACAAG